rnacentral:rRNA from 1 species
GCCGGGGCGGCAUGCUUACACAUGCAGUCGACGAUGAACCGCUUUCGGGCGGGGAUUAGUGGCGAACGGGUGAGUAACACGUGGGCAAUCUGCCCUGCACUCUGGGACAAGCCCUGGAAACGGGGUCUAAUACCGGAUAUGACUGUCCAUCGCAUGGUGGAUGGUGUAAAGCUCCGGCGGUGCAGGAUGAGCCCGCGGCCUAUCAGCUUGUUGGUGAGGUAGUGGCUCACCAAGGCGACGACGGGUAGCCGGCCUGAGAGGGCGACCGGCCACACUGGGACUGAGACACGGCCCAGACUCCUACGGGAGGCAGCAGUGGGGAAUAUUGCACAAUGGGCGAAAGCCUGAUGCAGCGACGCCGCGUGAGGGAUGACGGCCUUCGGGUUGUAAACCUCUUUCAGCAGGGAAGAAGCGAAAGUGACGGUACCUGCAGAAGAAGCGCCGGCUAACUACGUGCCAGCAGCCGCGGUAAUACGUAGGGCGCAAGCGUUGUCCGGAAUUAUUGGGCGUAAAGAGCUCGUAGGCGGCUUGUCACGUCGGUUGUGAAAGCCCGGGGCUUAACCCCGGGUCUGCAGUCGAUACGGGCAGGCUAGAGUUCGGUAGGGGAGAUCGGAAUUCCUGGUGUAGCGGUGAAAUGCGCAGAUAUCAGGAGGAACACCGGUGGCGAAGGCGGAUCUCUGGGCCGAUACUGACGCUGAGG